rnacentral:rRNA from 1 species
GGUUGACCUCGGAUCAGGUAGGGAUACCCGCUGAACUUAAGCAUAUCAAUAAGCGGAGGAAAAGAAACCAACAGGGAUUGCCUCAGUAACGGCGAGUGAAGCGGCAACAGCUCAAAUUUGAAAUCCGGCCCUUUCGGGGUCCGAGUUGUAAUUUGCAGAGGGUGUUUCGGGCGCGGCGCCGGUCUAAGUCCUUUGGAACAGGGUGUCAUAGAGGGUGAAAAUCCCGUAUGUGACCGGCAACCCACCCCGUGUGAAACCCCUUCGACGAGUCGAGUUGUUUGGGAAUGCAGCUCAAAACGGGUGGUAAAUUUCAUCCAAAGCUAAAUACGGGCCAGAGACCGAUAGCGCACAAGUAGAGUGAUCGAAAGAUGAAAAGCACUUUGGAAAGAGAGUCAAACAGUACGUGAAAUUGUUGAAAGGGAAGCGCUUGCAACCAGACCUGUUCGUGGGUGAUCAGCGGUGCUUCUCGCGCCGUGCACUCGUCCGCGACCAGGCCAGCAUCGGUUCGGGCGGCCGGAGAAAGACUCGAAGAAUGUAGCUCCCUUCGGGGAGUGUUAUAGCUUCCCGUGCAAUACGGCCCACCGGGACCGAGGAUCGCGCUUCGGCUAGGAUGCUGGCGUAAUGGUUGUCAGCGACCCGUCUUGAAACACGGACCAAGGAGUCUAAUAUCUAUGCGAGUGUUUGGGCGUCAAACCCAGGCGCGUAAUGAAAGUGAACGUGAGGUGGGAACCCUCCAGGGCGCACCAUCGACCGAUCCAGAUGUCUUCGGAUGGAUUUGAGUAAGAGCAUAGCUAUUGGGACCCGAAAGAUGGUGAACUAUGCCUGAAUAGGGUGAAGCCAGAGGAAACUCUGGUGGAGGCUCGCAGCGGUUCUGACGUGCAAAUCGAUCGUCAAAUUUGGGUAUAGGGGCGAAAGACUAAUCGAACCAUCUAGUAGCUGGUUCCUGCCGAAGUUUCCCUCAGGA